UUUCUUUGCUGAGAAGUUUUCUUUAUUACACAGGGCCACAGACCACCACUAGGCAAUAUUCUGUGAUUCAAGGCAAGCAUGGAGAGAGGUAUGAGGCUAAUUAAGAAAAACCAUCUCGGAAGAGACCGAACCCAGGAGUGGGCCAAGGAGUGGCCCCUAAGGUAUCAAGAAUAAAGUGUCACUUCAAAUACCUGAGACUCCCAUCAAGUCAGUGCUGCCAUCAGGGGCACCCCGAGACCCUUCUGAUGUCACCCUAUGGCCUCACAAAAGGUGGCUGGCUAUAAGUGCCCUGAGCGGCGCGCCUGCGGCCAGUCCAGCCGGUGGUAGUCGAGAGCUCGAGUUUCCACGGCUGGAAGGCGAGAGAGAGGCGGAAGUGUGGCAAGAGGCACACGCGAAGCCAUUCUUGUUGCACGC